CACAUGCUAUAUAAAUUUUUACAAAUAACUUACUUAUUAUUCAGUGAUCCGCCUUUUUAGUUUAUAUAUGACAUGGCAAUUACAGCAGGCUGAACAUUAAUUAUUAAAUAAGUACGUUCUGUUUUUGCUUAUGGUACUAUAGGAUACAUAAACGAACUGUCAAAAAGCACGUGCAUCCAUGGAUACCGAGGAUUACGAAUUGGAACAAAUACGUCAAGAUAUUGUAAAAAACCAUCUUGAACUUACAGCUCUGAUUCAAGAUAUACAACAAUGUAUUGGUCCAUUGGAGCUGCUCAUGGAUUUAAAUAAAGAAGGCAGAGCGAAAUUAGAAUCUUUACAUUCCUCCAUAUCCAAGUUAGAAUCAUUGGCAGAUACAGAACUCGUGGAGAAAAAGAAAACAGACUUGCAGGCAGAAAUAAAUACCUACAAGCAACAGUCUAAAAAUUCCUUAACUGCAUUUCGUAAGGCUAAUAUUGUUAGCAUGUGUGUGAUAGAUAAACUUUCCAAAGAAGAGCUAUUAUCAAUGCCUGAAGAAUAUCAAGCAGCUGUACGCAAAAGACACGAUAGAAGAAGUUUGGCAAACGCAUCCAGUCAGCUCUCUGACAAACUGCUAAGUAUAUCUAGACAUUUGGCUGAGACAACACAAAGAAGUGCAGACACAUUGGACACAUUAAUAAUCUCAUCGGACAAGGUGUCUAGUACCACAAAUGAGUUGGAACGCCAACAGCAAGUGAUAGUUCAAUCAGGAAAGCUUUUAGGGAAAUAUGGUAGAAGGGAAGUCACAGACAAAGUUUUAUUAGCUCUGGCAUUUGCAUUUUUCCUCGCAUGUGUCCUUUACAUUCUACAGAAGAGGUUGUUCUGAAAGUACAAAACUGUUUUACACAAAACUGUCUACAUACAUCUUUCUGAUAGGAGAGAUAUUUUCUGAAGUGUGAUCGAACAAGAAACUAGUAUAAAGUCGGGGGACGCCACGGUCGCAUUUUUUUCAAGGAACGAUACACUUUAGGAAGCUUGGUAUUAAAACAUUUCAUCACCAAAACUGAUUAAAUAUUGUCAGCUGAUUCUGGAUCAUGGAAUCCUGAAAUAAAAGAGAAAUAUCAACGUUUAUUUAUUACAUACUUUCUAAUAAUUAUAACGAAACGUGUUCUGACUUCUCGAUCAGCCAAGCCAGAUACCACAC